rnacentral:lncRNA from 1 species
UAUUUGAGAAGUGGGAGCAUGGACAGUAGACAUUUGUGGACUUGAAGUAGAGAGGAAAGGUGGGAAGUUUGUAUGUGUUUGAGAUAUGGGAUGAUGUGUAGGUUGCUUUGUAAAUAGGGAUUGUUGGAUAUUUGAAGGUGUUUUAGAUGUAAGAUGAUGUGUAGGUUUCCUUGUAGAGUGGGGUUGUUGGGUAUUUGUAGGUAUUUGAGAAGUGGGAGCAUGGACAGUAGACAUUUGUGGACUUGAAGUAGAGAGGAAAGGUGGGAAGUUUGUAUGUGUUUGAGAUAUGGGAUGAUGUGUAGGCUGCUUUGUAGAUAGGGAUUGUUGGAUAUUUGAAGGUGUUUUAGAUGUAAGAUGAUGUGUAGGUUUCAUUGUAGAGUGGGGUUGUUGGGUAUUUGUAGGUAUUUGAGAAGUGGGAGCAUGGACA